ACGGCUUCCGUGGUACCAAGUUCUCCAUUUUAAUUUCCCUCCAAAAAUUGAUGCUUAACAUCCUCUCGUCUUUAAUCAGAUAAUCGAUUUUCUUUUCUUUCUCGCUUUCUUGGCAGCCAAACAGCAAGCUGUCGCUAACCAUAACUAUGAUUCUAGUUCAGAAACCCUCCAUAUCGUGCUCAAGUUCAGGCGAAGUAUACAAGGCAGAGGUAUUUCGAUGUCCCAAUCAGCAGAAAAGACAACCAAUGUCCUUGGUGCCUCCGAGUCCGACGAAGACCUAUUCGGAUUUUCCUACAAUAUUAACAGUUGCUACUUCGAUUUUUAGGUUUUCAAUUUCGUUAUAUUCAAAGGUGCCGUGUUUGCUUCUCUGGUCUGGUAUUUUCUCACUCGUUGAUGAUGGAAGUUUGCAGAACCCCAUCUCCUCCUUCGAAGAAAUUGUGAUUCUGAUAACUAUAGCGUAUUGCACAGAGGAUGCUGCCGAGAAGUAUUGAUUCAGAAGGUCCGUAUCACCUUCUCUAUUGUUCAGGUAAGGGUGAUAAAACCAGGGUAAUACGGGAGUUGGAGAAAGGAGUAGACAUCAACCUUGCUGAUUAUGAUAAGAGAACGGCUCUUCAUUUGGCAGCCUGUGAGGGUUGCAUUGAAAUUGUUGUCCUGCUUUUAGAGAAAGGAGCUGAUGUGAACUCCACCGAUCGUUGGGGUCGUACUCCACUAUCUGAUGCCAGAAGCUUCGGCCACGAGGAGAUCUGCAAGAUUCUGGAAGCUAGAGGUGGAACGGAUCCGGUAAUCUACUUUAUUAAAACACAUGUUAUGGGUUUGUAUCUGCAUAUAUAUAUAUAUAUACACACACACACAUUCUUCUGGCUAUUGUUCUUAGUACUGGAGGAGCAUAACCAUAAUUUAUGAAAAAUUAUUAGCUGCCCCGGAGCACAUAUAAGUCAGUAAACUCCAAUUUGAUUCGUCACUUAAAUUUUGUUUUUAUGUUUUUCUUUUUUGACGAAAAAUUAAAAUACAUCAAUUGUUUAUAGAGCCUGCUAAACUCAUUGUUUGUCUCCUGAAAUAUCUUAUGAUUACAAGUAUCCAGCCAAAACUACAUUUUUGUACUAUAGUUACG